GGAGAGAUGCCGGAGCGGUCGAACGGGGCGGUCUCGAAAACCGUUGUGGGUGCAAGCCCACCCAGGGUUCGAAUCCCUGUCUCUCCGCCA
rnacentral:tRNA from 1 species